rnacentral:lncRNA from 1 species
ACCUCCCUCAUUCACUCCCUCAUCUCCCCAUACUACGACCUUUCCUAUGACUCUGAUCAGCCAGAAAUCCCUGACCUUUCUUCUCCAACCUUGGCUCAACUCCAAGACACAACAACCUCUGAACAAACCUUAUAUGUCCCAUAAACCUAUGAACCUAUACCAUCUCUUUCAAUACCUCAUUCAUCACCCUCAAUAACCCUACCAACUUCUGAACCUCUCACUGAACCUUAUGAAACCACUCAAAUUCCC